UACAGAGGGGGCAAGCGUUGUUCGGAAUUACUGGGCGUAAAGGGCGCGUAGGCGGCCUCUUAAGUCGAACGUGAAAUCCCCGGGCUCAACCCGGGAACUGCGUCCGAUACUGGGGGGCUUGAAUCCGGGAGAGGGAUGUGGAAUUCCAGGUGUAGCGGUGAAAUGCGUAGAUAUCUGGAGGAACACCGGUGGCGAAGGCGGCAUCCUGGACCGGUAUUGGCGCUGAGGCGCGAAAGCCAGGGGAGCAAACGGG
rnacentral:rRNA from 1 species